AUACAUGCAAGUCGAGCGCAGGAAGCAAGCAGAUCCCCUUCGGGGGUGACGCUUGUGGAAUGAGCGGCGGACGGGUGAGUAACACGUGGGCAACCUGCCUGUAAGACUGGGAUAACCCCGGGAAACCGGGGCUAAUACCGGAUAAUACUUUUCUUUGCAUAAAGGAAAGUUGAAAGGCGGUUUCGGCUGCCACUUACAGAUGGGCCCGCGGCGCAUUAGCUAGUUGGUGAGGUAACGGCUCACCAAGGCGACGAUGCGUAGCCGACCUGAGAGGGUGAUCGGCCACACUGGGACUGAGACACGGCCCAGACUCCUACGGGAGGCAGCAGUAGGGAAUCUUCCGCAAUGGACGAAAGUCUGACGGAGCAACGCCGCGUGAGUGAUGAAGGUUUUCGGAUCGUAAAACUCUGUUGUUAGGGAAGAACAAGUCGGGUAGUAACUGACCCGGCCUUGACGGUACCUAACCAGAAAGCCCCGGCUAACUACGUGCCAGCAGCCGCGGUAAUACGUAGGGGGCAAGCGUUGUCCGGAAUUAUUGGGCGUAAAGCGCUCGCAGGCGGUCCUUUAAGUCUGAUGUGAAAUCUCGCGGCUCAACCGCGAACGGUCAUUGGAAACUGGAGGACUUGAGUACAGAAGAGGAGAGUGGAAUUCCACGUGUAGCGGUGAAAUGCGUAGAGAUG
rnacentral:rRNA from 1 species